rnacentral:lncRNA from 1 species
CAGGUUUUUUACAUAUAUUGACAUUGAAUUUACAGGUUUUUCAUAAUUUUUUUAUUUUUUCUAUGGCUUGAAAUCAUCAAACUGGCUUUCGGGUUGGGUCAAAGGAACCCGAACAGUAACGCAACAGGUACAGGUCGGAUCCUGGGUCCUACUGCAUGUUCUAGGUACGGGUACGGGUACAAGGCACUCUAGAUCCGUUACGUCCGGGUCCAAGUAUGGGUCCAUCUAGUGUAAUUUCGAGUUCGGCUCUACAUACAACCGAACCCGACCUAUUGCCACCCCUAUCUUCAUUAGAUUAAAGACCGCAACUCCUCCCCCAACAUAAACGAAACCACUUUGUUCUAGAAAUUCAUGUUGUGAGAAAUAAUAGUUCUUUACCUAUAUUCCAACUUCCUCCAUCAAUAAAACUCGCCUCUACCCCUCAUUUUCAUUUUUAUCAACUUCUAAUCUUACCAUGCUUCCAUAAUAAUCUUCUCUUAAACAAAUCCCUCAACGUGCACAAUAAUGCCCUUCCUACUCCCACUUGUCACCGCAAACUUACCUACAAACCUACUUUUAAUCAUCUUGACAUGUGAACUAUUCUAGGUUAACCCCAACCACUUCCAUUACUCGAGCCCCUUCUUAACAUCUCUGCCAGCUCAUCCUCUAGAUCCACUUGCUUUGUUUCUUGCAAGUCCAUUCACCUCCAUAUUGCUUUGUUCCUUGCAAGUCCAUUCACCUCCAUACAGCCACUGUUAGAAAUCAAUGACAAACAGCUUUUGUUGGCAACUUAUUGAAUAUGUUCCUUGAUAAUGCCAAAAGAACAAACGAAGUGGACUGCCAUAUUUUUAGUAAAAUUGCACAACGUAGAGCUGUAAAGAUCAUAGAUAUGCCUACCACAUGAUUAGUGGUAUUUAUAAAUAUGUCUUAAGCAGGGAGAGAUGCAUGUGUCAAAAAUAUCACAAAAAAAUCAAAACAAGAAGACAGUUGAGAAAAGCUAGGCAAUACAAUGUGAAAAUCAAAAAUUUCAGUCGGGAAUAUAAGGCAUCAACUUCAAUGCGAUUAGAAGCGUUGCCAAUGCAGCAAGAACCUCUAGACUUAGUCAUAAUGCAUCACUAUUAAAUCUGUCAUGACAAGACCUGGUUCAAGUAUUAUCAUCAUAUCAUCAAGAAUAUUUUACACCAUUAUCAUUUGCUUGACCUGCUGCUUCAGCAAGAAGCUUUCCCAACAAAGUAGAACAGAAAUCAGGUUAACCAAUGGGAAUAGCAUUUUAUUUUUAUUUUUUUAACAUAAUCCACUACCAUACCAUUGACAACCCAUUAUUUUCAUUCCCACCUGUAGUAAACAUUGCACGACCAUAUCCACUCCAUUAAUCUAAAGAACAAGCUCAACUACCAUUCCUUUCGCAAAUGGUAAUCCACAAGCCAUGAAUUCUCCACAAGCAAUAUCAUUCCCCCAAUUCGUAGUAUCAAUAAAUCACCAGCUUCAAGCCUAACAACUCAAUGAAAAACAAAAAUACUUCUUCCAAUGAGUACAAUUACAAAAAACCUCAUCAAAUGAUAGAUUGCUAAGGACAUUAGUUUUCAACUCAAAUCUCUUUAUGCAUAGAAAUAAGUACAGAGGGUGCAAAUUAUCAAAUCUGAUGCAGAAACCAAUGGCCAUAAAAUAUUCAUCUUCAUUCAAAUGUAUCAACAACAAAUGUGGUGGAGUUAAUCAGCAAUGAAACAUUUCAUAUUCAUAAUUAUAGUCAUCUAAACAAGUAGUAAGGAAACAUAUUAGAGUGCCAAUACUAUGUCCAAUCUCUUUUCCCCAUUAUCAACUUGGCAUAAGGGAAAGGGAGAGAGACAACACAAAGAAACUCUAGGUUAUUGCAAAUAACAAUAAACCAAGUCAUCAGUCAACUAGAAAUCCCAAAUACAAAAAGUAAAAUACUCAAAAAAGUACAUUUAAGCACCAUCUCAUCUACAAGAGUGAGAGACUAUAAAAAGAGCACUAGAAUACCAUCUCAUCCAAGAAAAAGAUAGAGCAGACUGAAGAGAAAAGUUGAGAAGGAGAAAACAUCAUACCAUCUCAAUUCUUGCAAUCCUCAACUACAACAAUCCAAAAACCAAAAGGAAAAUUGCCACUUACAAACACAAAUACCAGAAAGAAACCAACGUUUUCUACUAGUUCAUCUCUCUCUUUAUAUAUCUUGCUCACUAUUACAUAGUUGCAGCUACAAUCAUACCGGUCUUGCGAGCAUAUGCAAAGAUCCCCCCAGCCUCAAUCACCGGCCCCGCAUCCCCGAUCGGCUUCAGCUUAUGCUCCUUCCCAGUGGUGUGGUUGGUAAGUCGUCCCCUCUCCUUCUCCAUCUCCACAGUCACCAAAUCCCCCGUUCUGCAUUCUUUGCAAAGCCUCCCCUCUGCAGAUUCAAGGGGGUAAAUUUCCCCAGUCGCCACCGAAUUCCUGAAGAAGAUGCGUGCAUAGGACUCAGCCACCACGGCCUUGACGCCUGACGCACCUAAGGCAACAGGGGCAUGUUCCCUCGACGAACCGCACCCAAAAUUGGCGCCCGCAAUGAUGAUGGCAUACCGGGACAAGGGCUGCCCGGGUGCCACGAAGCUAGGGUACCGAGAAGGAAGCCCUACGAGCGCCAAGCUCCCCAGCUUCGCAUACUCCUCUGGGUUCGAAGGAACGAGGGUCAGGUACUCUGCCGGGAUGAUCUGGUCCGUAUCGAUGUUGUCAUCCAAGACAAAGCACUCGCCAUGAAAUACUUUUUCUACUGCCUCGCCGCCUUCUAAGGUUGAGGAAGAAGAAGAAGAGGUAGCAUGGAGAGUUAGAGUGGGGGAGUGGUUGCAGCGACGUGAGAGAGAGGAGGAAGGCCAAGAGUAGCGGAGGAGAGGAAGGCGAGCAGAAGGUGGAGCGAGGCGGUGGGUAGGGGCGAAGGAGAAGCUAAAAGCGCAUGGUGGCGGCUGCAGGGCCUUUGAUGCCAUAGUUGUUGUCAUGUGUCUGUUUGACUGCCGCUUUACUGGUGAGAAAAACCUAUAAAUGGACGGGCUGUUACUGUGUCAGUGGGGGGGAAAAAUUUGUGAGUGUGAGGCUAUAAACAAUCAAAUUAAGGCGCACUUCAAAAAUUUUACUAGAAGAGGAUGUUUUGAUGCCCAAAAAUUUCACAAACUAGUCAUUUCAACAAGCUUUGGAAAUUGUGCAUUGUAAUGCAUUUUUGGAAUGUUAAUUUUCAAUAUUUUCAAGUUUUCAUAGAUUGCCUUGAUCUACACUAUUUUUAAACUUUAAAUUUUAUAAUUAGAGAUAAAAAUAAUAUUUAAAGCUAUCACAAAGAUUUUCAGUAUUAAAACCACAUUUCUCGACACUAUUUGAAAGUGUGUUUUAUUUUGAUUAUUUAAAGCCUCCGCCUUGUGCAAACAAUUAAGAGAGGUCACAGGUUCUAGCAUCUCAGACAUUAGUGGCGUCCACUAGCUUCACUAGAGAGAGAGGAUCAGAAGGGGAACUUUUGAGAAACGUCAAAAGGGAGGGAAAAAAAAAGAUAUUAUCCGUGAUUGUCUAGAACCCACAAAAAGGGGACACAAAAUGGUUAUAAUUGUCACCUGUGUAGUACAAGAAACCAGAUGAAAAGAAGAAUUGGAAAACUGUGAAAUUUACCCGGAGUGCAGAGACGAAAGUUUGAAGGGAGGGAUGAGGGGCAAGGUUUCUAUAGAAAACUGUUUAUCAAAAAAAACAACGAAAUUACUUUUUCCUACUGUGAAAAGUUUACCACAAAACAAAAGUAUAAUCAUUGAUUAGCCAGUUUAUAAGAAUGAAUAAGACAAAAAAGAAGACAAAAGAAACAAUCAAAGUUGAGAAGUUUCAAGGACAUUGUGGAUAAAAAUGCAAGCAUAACACUUGUCACAUCCUUAAUAUAUUUCACUUAGGUCCCCUUUCAUCUGAUUCUGUAGGUCAUUUGAACUUGACAGUGUUGAUGAAAACCCCUACCUUUUAACAAGCAAUUCCAAUCAUUGUUGUGGUGGCAUCUCCUACUGCAGCAAAGGUUUUACUCAUUACUUUGGUUAUUGGGUUCAUAUUGAAAGAAGAGAAGAAAAACACAAGGUGAGCUUCUGUUUACUCAUCAAUCUUAUCUAAUAAAGGGCCUUAUGACCAAUUUUUCAUGAGAAGUUGCAUUCGUUUCCUGCUUUUUCAGUAUUUUUAUAUCUUUAUGUUGUUAACACUUUGCUGAAGUCAUCGUUAGAAUGACUCAAAUAAGCAAAUCCCAGAAGUUGAAAAGCAAAGAACCAAUACGAUAAACUCCAGCCACAAAGGAUCAAAUCAAAUAACCAUAGGUCAGUAACAGAAUUAUUAAAUACGAAGGAAUUGAAAUAACCAAAACAGAUCAAAUAACCAAAAACCAAAAUACACAAACAUCUUAUACAAGUAGAAACCAACUCAAAAUAUAUCAGGCUGCCAUCUUCCUGAAACCAAUCUUAUAUUCAAUGUAUUUAUUCAAAACAGGCGAACUAAAGUCACCGUAAGUAGAAUCCUUAUUUGGCCACUUCACAAAAAUGAAUAAGAAAAAAAAAAGGACGAAAAUGAACAACAAGAACCUCUAAUCACCCAGUACAAUCCCCUUUCCCCUUUAACACAUGACCCAACAAAGGAACCACCUAUGCAUAAAUCCAACUGUAGGAAACCACCAACAUUUCAGCCAAGCCCCAAGAAAACAAAUUUUCCCUCUCCUAACUCCCCACAUGUACCAAACAGAAACAGAAAACACAAAAGCAUGCACCAAAAAUACUAAAUCCCUACUCAUGUCAAAAAAACAAAAAAGGGAAUUCCAAACCCUGCUAAACACAACACUAAAAACAAGUAGUCCAACUCAAGAGGCCAAAAACCACAAUAAGCCCAUUAAUGGAGAUGUAAAUGCAAGGCAUACGUCUCAAUUCCUAUAGCACAUACAUAAAACAAACCUCAAAUGUCACUGGCCUUAAAAAUCUCUUCACUCUAGAGAGGAACCUUAAUUCACCAUAUCAUGUCAGCAAGAAAUCCACAUCUACCACACUAAUAAAAAGACAACAGGAAGGUAGGAAAAGGAAGGCCAAAUCAGUCUGAAUGGUCAUGGCCAAAAAUUCCUCCCUCUUCACAAGAAGCACGUGCUAAGUCCCCAAGAAAGCCUAGCAGGAAUUGCCUCCUCAAACCCAUUGGCAGCUAAAGGUGUCAUGAAAUAAAGGCAACUAGAAUGCACAACCCUACCACUCUGAAUGCCUAACAUUCCCCACUCUGAAUGCCUAACAUUUUCCCCCUCACUGAGACCUCAAUGACACAGUAAGAGCUUGUCCAUAUAUAAGUUUUUCUCACCUGUAAAGCAGCAGUCAAACAGACACACGGCAGCAACCAUGGCAUCUAAGGCCACGUAGCCACCGCCAUGCGCUUUUAGCUUCUCCUCCGCCCCAACCCGCCGCCUCGCUCCGCCUUCUACUUGACCUCCUCUCCUCCGCUACUCUUGGCCUUCCUCCUCUCUCACGUUGCUGCAACCACUCCCCCACUCUAACUCUCCGCACUGCCUCUUCUUCUUCUUCCUCGGCCUUAGAAGGCAUCAAAAAAAGUAUUUCACAGCGAGCACUUUGUCUUGGACGACAACAUCGACAUGGACCAGAUCAUCCCGGUGAAGUACCUAACCCUCGUUCCUUCGAACCCGAAGAAGUAUACGAAGCUGGGGAGCCUGGCACUCGUAGGGGCUCCCUUCUUGGUACCCUAGCUUCGUGGCACCCAGGCAGCCCUUGUCUCGCUAUGCCAUCAUCAUUGCGGGGGCCAAUUUUAGGUGCGGCUCUUCGAGGGAGCAUGCCCCUGCUGCCCUAGGUGCGUUAGGCGUCAAGGCCGUGGUGGCCGAGUCCUAUGCGCGCAUCUUCUUCAGGAAUUCAGUGGCGACUGGGGAAAUUUACCCCCUUGAAUCCGCAGAGGGGAGGCUUUGCAACGAGUGCAAGACGAGGGAUUUGUUGACUGUGGAGAUGGAGAAGGAGAGGGACCAACCACACCACUGGGAAGGAGUAUAAGCUCAAGCCGAUCAGGGAUGCGGGGCAGGUGAUUGAGGCUGGCGGGAUCUUUGCAUACGCUCGCAAGACCGGUAUGAUCGUAGCCACAGUAGUGUAAUAGGGAACAAGACAUAUAAAGAGAAUUGCAAGAAUUGCAAGUGGCAUCUUUCCUUUUGGUUUUUGGAUUGUUGUAGUAGAGGAUCGCAAGAAUUGAGAUGGUAUGAUGCUUUCCCCUUCUCAACCUUUCUCUUCAGCCUGCUCACUCUCUCUCUUCCUUGGAUGAGAUAGUAUUCAAGUGCUCUUUGUUUAGUCUCUCUCUUGUAGAUGAGAUGGUACUCAAAUGUACUUUUUUGAGUAUUUUACUUUUUGUAUAUGGGAUUUAUGAUUGACUGGUGACCUGGUUUCUUGUUAUCUGCAAUCCCUUAGAGUUUCUCUGUGUUGUCUCUCUCCCUCACCCUUAUGCCAGGUUGAUAAUAGGGAAAAGAGAUUGGAUAUAGUAUUCACACUCUAAUAUGUUUCCCUAAUGCUUGUUUAGACGACCAUGAUUAUGAAUAUGAACUGUUUCAUUGCUGAUUCACUCCACCACAUUUGUUGUUGAUACAUUUGAAUGAAGAUGAAUAUUUUAUGGCCAUUGGUUCCCACAGCAAAUCUGACAAUUUGCUCUAUACUUAUUUCUAUGUAUAAAGAUAAUGAGUUGAAAACCGAUGACCAUAGCAAUCAACAAUUUAGUGAGUUUUUUGUAAAUAUACUCAUUGGAAGAAGUAUUUUUGUUCUUCCAUUGAAGUGUCAGGCUUGAAGCCGGUGAUUUAUUGAUACUCUGGAUUGGGAGAAUGACAUUGCUUGUGGAGAAUUCAUUGCUUGUGAAUUACCAUUUGCGGAAGGACCGGUAGUUGAGCUUGUUCUUUAGAUUAAUGGAGUGGAUAUGGUCGUACAAUGUUUACUACGGGUGGGAAUGAAGAUAAUGGGUUGUCAAUGGUAUUGUAGUAGUGGAUUAUGUUAAAAAAAUAAAAUAAAAAUAAAAUGUUAUUCCAAUUGGUUAAGCUGAGUUCUGUUCUACUUUGUUGGGAAAGCUUCUUGCAGAAGCAGCAGGUCAAGCAAAUGAUCAUGGAGUCAAAUAUUCCUGAUGAUAUGAUGAUAAUACUUGAACCAGGUCUUACCGUGAAGGAUUUAAUAGUGAUCCAUUAUGACUAGGUCGAGAGGUUCCUACUGCAUUGGCAAUGCUUCCAAUGGCAAUGAGGUUGAUGCCCUACAUUCCCAACUGAAACUUUUGAUUUUCACAUUGUAUCGCCUAGCUUGUGUUAAUUGUCUUCUUGUUUUGACUUUUUUAUGAUAUUUUUGACACAUGCAUCCCUCCAUGCUUCGGACAUAUUUAUAAAUAUUACUAAUCAUGUGGUAGACAUAUCCAUGAUCUUCACAGCUCAACAUUGUGCAACUUUACUAAAAAUAUAGCAGUCCACCUCGGUUGUUCUUUGGACACUAUAAAGGAAACUCAACAAAUAGCCAACAAAAGCAGUUUGUCCUUGAUUUCCAAGAGUGGCUGUAUGGAGGUGAAGGGACUUGCAAGAAACAAAGCAAGUGGAUCUAGAUGAUGAACUAGUAGGAUGUUAAGAAGGGGAUCGAGUAAUGGAGGUGGUUAACCUAGAAUAGUUCACAUUUCAAGAUGAUUAAAAGUAGGUUUUUAGGUAGGUUUGGGGUGACAAGUGGGAGCAGGAAGGGCAUUAUUCAGCACGUUGGGAGAAGAGUUGCAGUCUAUUAUCUAAUGAAGAUAGGGGUGGAUACGGGUCAGGUCCGGCUGUUCCCAUAGCCGAACCCGAAAUAACACUAGAUGGACCCAUACUCGGACCCGGACAUACCCGUACCCGUACCAAGAACAUGCAUUAGGACCCAAGACCCGAUCUGUACCUGUUGCGUUACUAUUCGGGUUGCCCUGACCCAACCCGAAACCCAGUUUGAUGAUUUCAAGCCACUGAAAAAGUGAAAAAUUUAUGAAAAACAUGUAAAUUCAAUGCCAAUAUAUGUAAAAAACCUGCCCAAUAUUUUUUAGGUAAAAAGUUAUGAAAUACCUAAUACAAUUUAAAAGAUGGAUGACUAGCUAUGACUAUUAAAUAAAUUCAAUGGCAAUAGACUUAGAGGCUAUUCAUCCAUUUAACAAAUUGCUUCUUCCACAUAGGUGCAAGUUGCUUUAAUUCUUUAGUGCAACAAGAUCCAAAUCAACUCCCAAAACACAUAGCACAUGAUUUCAUGUCUCAAUCAACCCCAAUUAACAAUUACAUAUGGGAUUGCAAAUAAAAAGACAUACUAAGGAUUCUAUCUCUCUCUCUCUUAACACAAACACAAAUUCAAUAACCAUUUUUCAUCAAUAUACAUCUCUCUCUCUCUCACUCUCUCACUCUCUCUCUCUCUCUCCUCCCCUCUUAAAAACCAGUUCAAGUCUUUCCUCAAUAUACAUCAUUCCAUUUCAAAGAAGUCCAUCUGUGACUAUAACAAACAAUCAUCUCAAAAAUCAAUUGCUAGAUUUCCUUGCUUUUCCGAGGAGAGAAAAUUACUCCAAUUGCUACAGCCCCAUAGAGAACUUCCAAAAAAAAAACAUAAUCUCAAAAAAAAUUUACUAGAUUUCUGGAACUAUCCCUUCCCUGCCAGCAGCAAGUGCUUUUUCGGUGGGGAAAACUACUCCAAUUGAUACAGUCCCAUUCUUCCUCUUCCAAUCCAACAAUAACAAAGAGAAAAAAUAAACCACCAUUAACAUAAGUAAAUAAAUAACAAACCACCAUAAUACAGAAAUGUAGGACAUAAUGCAUUAUCAAACACCCUACAUGAUAUUUAAUCCCAAUAAGAUCAGAUUCACUAACAUAUUGCCAAAUGAACAUAUAGAUUGAACAUGCUUGUCAAAGAUGGCUCAAUAAAUUUCACGUUCCUCUGAGGGUUCUAAGGGUGAAAAGAGAACCUGGAGUAUUACACUAAAUUUAUGGUGAGACUAUUGUUGGCUGUCCUCAUUUACCUCCAUGUUAGUUACAUAAUCAUAAAUGAAGAUGUUCAAACAAAAUGCAUCAAAACCUUUCCACUUGAAACAAAGGCAAUUCUUAAAUGUAUGUUGCUGAGGAAGAACAGUUGUCUAAAGAUGUUGAUGCAUACUAGGAUUGCCCAACCUAAUUUCAUCUACUCCUCAUUCAUCUAAUUCCACCAAACUACCUACGGAGUGCAGCUAAUGCUAAUAAGUUGAAGUGGACGAAGCCGGCCACGCAUGCGUGCUCUCUUAUCGAAGGAGGCUUUCGUGCUCUUUCUACUUUGUCCAAUUGCUGCAGAUAUCCCAAUGACAAUACACAUUUCAAAAAUUUAUCCAAAGCAGCAACUGCUAAGUCAAUUAAUAAUGUGUUAACACAAACAUAACAUAGAAAUCACACAGUUAAUUGUGACAUCAGUAAAACCAACAACUGUAAACUCAAUUAAUCGUUUGUUAAUGCACACAGUUAAUUGUGAAAUCAGUAAAAUCAGCAGUUGUUAACACAAUCAACAGUGUGCUUACGCACACAUAAUGUGACAAUGACAUUUAACAGUAAACACAGUAACUUGGUAACAUUGUUAACAAAGUAAACAGUGAACUCAGAAAUGUCGUGAAAUACAUAAAAAGAUAUUACAUAAUUAAAACCUGAGACAUAGGAAAAGAUUCACUUGUCCAAUAUUCAUUCACAUUCCUCAACUCCAUCAUCAACAAUAGACGCGGGAGUGUUAGAAGAUGAUGCCCAUGCACCCCCUAAGACUGAAACACAAAUAGAAUGAUAAAAUUUAAGUUCUAGAAAUCAACAAAUAUGGAAAACAAUCAAUCGACAACAUUAUGAAAUUAAAAUUGUUUUAGCUUCUAAAACAUUCUGCAGCCAAUUUUGGGUACACAUAAAUGCUUACAUGGUUGAUGGAAGCAAGGAACUGCGAUACUGGCCUAAAUCCCGUCCCCCAGUACUAAACACUGAUUCGGAUGCUGCUGUGGAAAUAGGAAUCACCAAAGUAUCAUUUUUGAGAGAUUGGGGAGCCUUGGUGCAUUGGCUCGCUACCAAAUUAAGAUAUGGAACUCUUCAUUCAACAGUGGUUUUGGAAAGAUAGGUUCCUCCAUAUGUAUGUCCAAUUCUGAUCUUAUUAGCAUACUAAUAGAAUGCUCAUGAAUGAAUCUUUGAUAUUCCAUCUCUCUCAUAUGACAAGUAGCAGAGCCACAGUGAGUAGAAGACUGGUUGCCAACUGAAGUACUUCCAAUAUUGGUUCUAGAUGAUUCAUUUGACCCUCUAUAUAAGUUACAAAUCCCUUGUCCAAUCAUCAUAAUUUCUUGUGUUGCUUCAUCAACAUAUAUUUUUUGAUAAUAGAAAUCAACCAAUGCAAUUUUAUACCGACUAUCAACAACACAUGCAAUCAUCAAACUGCAUAUCCUCCAAUAUUUGUCAAACUUCUUUUCCAUAGAAGUUGGAUACUUGGAUCCUCAAAAAACAUUUGUAGCAUCAUAAACAAUUUCAAACUAUUACAAGUAUGUCAUGCUUUCUCCCAAUCAGCCUCAGAUGGAACCAAAUUAAACAUUGAUUCCCAUUGAGAAAAGCAAUAAAUGCCACUUUUAACUCAAAGGUAGUCUCUAACAUUUAUUUUGAGUUCCAUCGAGUUGGAAUAUGAAGACAUUUUUUGUUUUGCUUUCAAUCCUAAGGAACUUGAUUCCCUUAUUAAAUAUUUCUUGCAUUCCUUAGGAUCCUUUAGUGAACUUGAUAAUAUAUUGGAUCUUGUUAAUUAUCUCAUGUAUUACCCCUAUUCCAUCUGCACAAUAAGAUUUAAAAUAUGGGCACAACAACACACAUGGAACAUCUUACCAUCAAAUACUAGUACGGUUUUUCAAGACAAUCGAGUAACUAGAGAUAAUGCAGUUACAUCAUUGUAUGAUGCAUUGUCCAAAGUUACACUAAACAACUUGUUUUCAAUAUUCCAUUGCAUAAAUAAAUCCAUUAGAACAGUAACAACAACUUCUCCAGUAUAAGGAGAUGGCAUAUACAGUAGCAAAAAACUGCUAUUUGAAACAUUGGACAGAGGCAAACUUGACAAAAAAUUUAAAAAAAUAGUGGAGGCAUCCUUCCUGGUAGAACGGACAAUUUUUGGGUCAUACAGUUAUAACUGUAAAAUAACCUGGUCCAUAUAUAAAUUUCCCUACUUAUUUCCAGCAUCUUUAUAAAAUUACAAUCACUUGUAUUUCUUGGAGAGGGAGAGCAAUCCUUUUAGAUUGAGAAAGUCACCCAUGUAGAUCCUUUAAGAUAAAGAAUGCCCCCAUUAUUUAGAAAAUAAAAAGAUUAUUGCUUUGUUUAGGUGAGGAAGAAAAAUUAUACUCCUCUAUUGUGUAUGGUAUGUCUUUUGUUGGUUAAGUGAUAGAGAAAUAAUCUCCUUUGUAUGAGUGUGGUUAUCUCUUUCUUCUCAUUCUUCAGAGCUACCAUAUUAAUCAAUAUGCGAUUUUCUUGCUAUUCUCUAUCUUAAGACUUUUCCACUUGAUAACUCAGUAAACAUUCCUUCCUUGACUUAUUUUUUGUGUUUGUGAUUGUGAUUCUUAAUAUCAUAAUAGUGAUUUAUUAUGUGUGUUACCUGAUUGUUAUUUAUUGGUUUCGUUUAGUUCAUGGAGUUGCUUUUCAAUUGAAUCUUUGUCAUUUUAUUCAUGGAUUUUGGAUAUUCCUAUUUGAGUUGAACCUUUAAUGUGCACUCUCUCUUUUCUCCCUCAUUGUCAUGUUUUUUUAUUCUCAAAUUGAUGUUGCCUUGGUUUACUGCAUUGAAUGAGUUGUGAUUCCUUAUUCCUUAUUCACUACAAUUUCAGUGUUAUUUCACAUCGUCGAAUAAAAUUGUGGAGUCUUUUGUUCAUACUUUUUCCAAGCUAUGAUUUUUUAGUUUUUGUUGGCUGUUUUUUUAUGGAUAAUGUGCUUCUUCUACUCUGGAUAAAGCUGUAAAUGAUACACAACCACCUUUAGACAUAGCCCAUAUAUAUUCUUGAGAAAAUGGAAAAGGGGGAAAUUUGAGUGUUGAACUUAAGAAAGUUGCAAAAUACAGUUAUAUGGAGACACCAGAAAUGGUUGCAAAAGAAGAGAUAUCAAUGGAUGGAAAUUCCCAUCAGAGCUUUGACUUGAAUGGAACACAACACUGGAUGUUGAAGUCAUUUCAUACUUUUAUUCACCAAGUUCUUUGAUUUAUUUUUCUCUAUAAAUUUGCUCGCUUUUGGAAGACAACUGUGAAUUUUGUUGUAGCGAUCAUCUUGUUAAGCAAUUUAAAUUAAGAGGCAAAUGCGAACUGAAGAACUGAAUUAUGUGAUCAUUUGGGUUUGAAAUCGGUCAAUGUAUAAUUGCAAGAACUUAGAGUUUUCCGGUUUUGUCUUAGUGCAAGUUUUGAAGAACUUGCCAAGCUCUUGUAAAAUGCGAGUUCUUGGCUUGGCUUUAGUUUUCGUCUCUGUGACUUCUUCUUGGGUUAGGAGUUCAUCUCUAUUGAUUGUUUUACGUAUUAUAAAUUUUCUCUUUUUGAUUUCAAGUAUUGGUAUUGUUAGUUUUGGGCUAUAGGUUUCAUAUUUUCAUCGAUUGAGGUCUAUAUUCUAUGAAUAUCUGGGUUUUUUUGGUGCAUUUUGUAGCUCUAACAAGAUCAUGGGUAGGAGCAUCCAAACAUCAUGUUGUAUUAAGUCAUUGGAAAUCCAAUUGGUUUUGACCACACUUCAAUUAGUUUUGAGGACAAUAGCAUUUAGUCACAGUUAGAUUGGUCAUUUAUCUCAAGGUUCGAAACCGUCUGAAACUUACCUACAAAUACCCGCAUUUUAUCUCCAGGUUUGAAACUGUUGCCUCUAAAAAACCACUUUUUGUCGCUAAAAGUCUCUCGUGUCCCAAAAACCACUUCACUGUUUCAAACACCCAACCUAAUUAAGGUUCAAAACCGUGACUAAAUGCUAUCAUGCUCAAAACUAAUUGAAGUGUGGUCAAAACCAAUUGGAUUUGCUAAAUACAACAUGAUGAUUGGAUGCUCCUACCCAUGAUCUUGUAAGAACUACAAAAUGCACCGAAAAAGAUAUUCAUAGAAUAUUGACCUCAAUCAAAUGAAAAUAUAAAACCUGUAGCCUAAAACUUACAAUCAACAAAACCUGAAACCAAAAAAAGAAAACUUAAAAUACAUAAAGCAAUCAACAGAGACGAACUCCUAACCCAAGAAGAAGUCACAGAGAAAAAACUAAAGCCAAGCCAAAAACUUGCAUUUUACAAGAGCUUGGCAAGUUCUUCAAAACCUGCACUAAGACUAAACCAGAAAACUCUAAGUUCUUGCAAUUAUACACUGACCAAGUUCUAACCCAAAUGAUCACAGAACUUAGUUCUUCAGUCCGCAUUUGCCUCUAAUUUAAAUUGCUGAACAAGACGAUCACUAACAAAAUUCAUAAUUGUCUUCCAAAAGCGAGCAAAUUUAUAGAGAAAAAUAAAUCAAAUAACUUGAUGAAUAAAAGUAUGAAAUAACUUCAACAUCCAGUGUUGUGUUCCAUUCAAGUCAAAAGCUCCGAUGGGAUUUCUAUUUAUUGAUAUCUCUUCAUCUGCAACCAUUUUCUGGUGUCUCCAUAUAACUGUAUUUUGCAACUUUCUCAAGUUCAAAACUCAAAUUUCCCUUUUUCCAUUUUCUCAAGAAUAUAUAUGAGCUUCAUCCAGAGUUGAAGAAGCACAUUAUCCAUAAAAAAAAAUGGUCAAUAAAAACUAAAAAAUCAUAGCUUGGAAAAAGUAUGAACAAAAGACUCCACAAUUUUAUCCAACGACGUGAAAUAACUUUGAAAUUGUAGUGAAUAAGGAAUCACAACUCAUUCAAUGCAGUAAACCAAUGCAACAUCAAUUUGAGAAUAAAAAUGCAUGACAAUGAGGGAGAAAAGAGAGAGAGAGAGAGAGAGAGAGAGAGAGAGAGAGCACAUUAAAGGUUCAACCCAAAUAAGAAUAUCCAAAAUCCAAGAAUAAAAUAACAAAGAUUCAACUGAAAAGCAACUCCAUGAACUAAACGAAACCAAUAAAUAACAAUCCGGUAACACACAUAAUGAAUCACCAUUAUGAAAGCAAGAAUCACAAUCACAAACACAAGAAAAAGUCGAGAAAUGAAUGCUUACUGAGUUAUCAAAUGGAAAAGUCUUAAGACAGAGAAUAGCAAGAAAAUUGCAAAUAAAUUAAUAUGGUAGCUCUAAAGAAUGAGAAGAAAGAUAUCAAUCACACUUAUACAAAGGAGAUUAAUCUUCCCCCAUCACUUAGCCAACAAAAGACAUACCAUACACAAUAAAGGAGUACAAUCUUUCUUCCCCACCUAAACAAAGCUAUAAUCUUUCAUUCUUUAUCUUAAAGAUCUACAUGGGUGGCUUUCUCAAUCUAAAAGGAUUGCUCUCCCAAUCCAAGAAAUACAAGUGAUUGUAAUUCUAUAAAGAUGCUAGAAAUAAGUAGGGAAAUUUACAUAUGGACCGGGUUAUUUAACAGUUAUAAUGCUAUGGCCCAAAAAUAGCCCAUUCUUACCAAGAAGGAUGCCUCCACUAUUUUUAAAUUUUUUACCAAGUUUGCCCCUGUCCAAUGUUUCAAAUAGCAGUCUUUUGCUACUGUAUAUGCCAUCUCCUUAUACAGGAGAUGUUAUUGCUACUGUUAUCAUGGAAUUAUUUAUGCAAUGGAAUAUUGAAAACAAGUUGUUUAGUGUAACUUUGGACAAUGCAUCAUACAAUGACGUAACAGCAUCAUCUCUAGUCACUCAAUUGUCUUGAAAAACAGUACUAGUAUUUGAUGGUAAGAUGUUCCAUGCGUGUUGUUGUGCCCAUAUUUUAAAUCUUAUUGUGUAAGAUGUAAUAGGAUUAAUACAUGAGAUAAAUGACAAGAUCCAUGAUAUAAUCAAGUUCGCUAAAGGAUCGUAAGGAACGCAAGAAAUAUUUAAUAAGGGAAACAAGUUCCUUAGAAUUGUAAGCAAAAAAAAAAAAUGUCUUGAUAUUCCAACUCGAUGGACUCGACAUACAAAAUGUUAUAUAAUGUCUUUGAGCUAAAAGAGGCAUUUAUUGCUUUUCUCAAUGGGACUCAAUGUUUAAUUUGGUUCCAUCUGAGGCUGAUUGGGAGAAAGCAAGACAUACUUAUAAUUGUUUGAAAAAUUUUAUGAUGCUACAAAUGUUUUUUCGGGAUCGAGUAUCCAACUUCUAUGAAAAAGAAGUUUGACAAAUAUUGGAGGAUAUGCAGUUUAACAUUGAAGAUUGCAGGUGUUGUUGAUCCUCGGUAUAAACUUGCAUUGGUUGAUUUUUAUUAUCCAAAAAUAUAUGUUGACGAAGCAACACAAGAAAUUAUGAUGAUUGGACAAGGGAUAUAUAACUUAUAUACAAGGUAUAAAUCAAAUGAAUCAUCUAGUACCAAUAUUGGAAGUACUUCAAUUGUCGACCAAUCUUCUUCCCACAAUGGCUUUGCUACUCGUCAUAUGAGAAAGAUGGAAUAUCAAAGAUUCAUUCAAGAGCGUUCUAUUAGUAUACUAAUAAGAUCAGAAUUGGACAUACAUAUGGAGUAACCUAUCUUUCCAAAACCACUGUUGAAUGAAGAGUUCAAUAUCUUAAUUUGGUAGCGAGCCAAUGCACCAAGGUUCCCCAAUCUCUCAAAAAUGUUACUUUGGUGAUUCCUAUUUCCACAGCAGCAUCUGAAUCAGUAUUUAGUACUGGGGGACAGGUUUUAGGCCCGUAUCACAAUUCCUUGCGUCCAUCAACCAUGCAAGCAUUGAUGUGUACCCAAAAUUGGCUGCAAAAUGAUUUUGAAGGUAAAACAAGUUUAAUUUCAAAAUUGUUGUCGGUUGAUUACUUUCCAUAUUGGUUGAUUUCUAUAACUUAAAUUUUAUCACUCUAUUUGUGUUUCAAGCUUAUAGGGUGCAUGAGCAUCAUCUUCUAACACUCCCGCUUCUAUUGUAGAUGAUGAAGUUAAGGGCUAUGAAUGAAUAUUGUACAAGUGAAUCUUUUCCUAUGUCUCAGGUUUUAAUUAUGUAAUAUUUUUUUAUGUAAUUCACAACACUUCUGAGUUCACUGUUUACUUUGUUAACAAUGAUACCAUGUUACUGUGUUUACUGUCAAUGUCAAUGUCACAUUAUGUGUGCAUUAGCACACUAUUGAUUGUGUUAACAACUACUAAUUUACUGAUUUCACAAUUAACUGUGUGAUUUCUAUGCCGUGUGUGCAUUAACAAACGAUUAAUUGAGUUAACAGUUGUUGGUUUACUGGUCUCACAGUUAACUGUGUGAUUUUUAUGUAUGUAUGUGUUAACACACUAUAAAUUGACUUACGACCUGCUGAUUUGGACAAAUAUUUGAAAUAUGUGUAUUGUCAUCAGGAUCUCUGCAGCAAUCGGACAAAGGACAGAGUAGAAAGAGCACAAGAGCCUCCUUGGAUAAGAGAGCACGCAUGCAUGGCCGGCUUCUUCCACUUCAACUUAUUAGCAUUAGCAAUGCUCCGCAGGGUAGUAUGAUGGAAUUACAUGAAUGAGGAGCUGAUUAAAAAAGCUCAGGCAAUCCAAGUAUGCAUCGACAUAUGUAGACAAUUAUUCUUUCUCAGCAACGUACAUUCAAGAAUUGUCUUUGCUGCAGGUGGAAAGGUUUUGAUGCAUUUUAUUUGAAUAGUUUCAUUUAUGAUUAUGUAACUAACAUGUAGGUAAAAGAGGACAGUUAACAAUAGUCUCACCAUAAAUUCAGUGUAAUACACCAGGUUCUCUUUUCACCCAUAGAACUUUUAGAGCAAUGUGAAAUUUAUUGAGCCAUCUUUGACAAGCAUGUUCAAUAUAUAUGUUCAUUUCACAAUAAGUUAGUGAAUAUGAUCUAAUUGGGCCUAAAUAUCAGAUAGGGUAUAAUGCAUUAUGUCCUACAUUUCUGUAUUACAGUGGUUUGUUAUUUAUUUACUUAUGUUAAUGGUGGUUUAUUUUUUCUCUUUGAUAUUGAUGGAGUGGAGGUGCAAGAAUGGAGGAAUCAAGAAUGGGACUGUAGCAAUUGGAGUAAUUUUCCCUCACCGAAAAAGCACUUGCUGCAGGCAGGGAAGGGAUGAUGCCAGAAAUCUAGCAAAAAAAUUUUGAGAUGAUCAUGUUUUUUAUCGGGAAGUUCACCGUGGGGCUGAAGCAAUUAGAGUAAUUUUCUCUCACCGGGAAACCACUUGCUGCUGGCAGGGAAAGGAUGAUGCAGGAAAUCUAGCAAUUUUCUUUUGAGAUGAUUGUUUGUUAUACUCACAGAUGGACUUCUUUGAAAUGGAAUGAUGUAUAUUGAGGAAAGACUUGGACAGGUUUAAAAUAGGGGACAAGAGAGAGAGAGAUGUAUAUUGAUGAAAAAAGGUAAUUGAAUUUGUGUGUGUUAAGAGAGAGAGAGAGAUAGAAUCCUUAGUAUGUCUUUUUAUUUGCAAUCCCUUAUGUAAUUGUUAAUUGGGGAGGAUUGAGACAUGAAAUCGCGUGCUAUGUGUUUUGGGAGUUGAUUUGGAUCUUGUUGCACUAAAGAAUUAAAGCAACUUGCACCUAUGUGGAAGAAGCAAUUUGUUAAAUGCAUGAAUGGCCUCCAAGUCUAUUGCCAUUGAAUUUAUUUGUUAGACAUCUCUCUUAACUGUAUUUGGUAUUUCAUAACUUUUUACCUAAAAAAUAUUGGCGUUGAAUUUACAGGUCUUUCAUAUUUUUUUUAUUUUUUCUGUGGCUUGAAAUCAUCAAACUGGCUUUCGGGUUGGGUCAAGGGAACUCGAACAGUAACACAACAGGUACAGGUCCGGUCCUGGGUCCUAAUGCAUGUUCUGGGUACAGGUAUAGGUACGAGGCACUCUAGAUCCAUUACGUCCGGAUCCGAGUAUGGGUCCAUCUAGUGUAAUUUCGAGUUCGGCUCCGCGUAAAGCCGGACCCGACCCAUUGCCACCCCUAUCUUCAUUAGAUAAAAGACCGCAACUCCUCCCCCAACAUAAACGAAACCACUUUGUUCUAGAAAUUCAUGUUGUGAGAAAUAAUAGGUCUUUACUUAUAUUCCAGCUUCCUCCAUCAAUAAAACUCACCUCUACCCCUCAUUUUCAUUUUUAUCAACUUCUAAUCUUACCUAUGCUUCCAUAAUAAUCUUCUCCUAAACAAAUCCCUCAACGUGCAGAAUAAUGCCCUUCCUGCUCCCACUUGUCACCCCAAACCUACCUAAAAACCUACGUUUAAUCAUCUUGAAAUGUGAACUAUUCUAGGUUAACCCCAACCACCUCCAUUACUCGAUCCCCUUCUUAACAUCUACCAGUUCAUCUUCUAGAACCACUUGCUUUGUUUCUUGCAAGUCCCUUCACCUCCAUACAACCACUGUUAGAAAUCAAGGGAAAACAGCUUUUGUUGGCAAUUCAUUGGGCAUGUUCCUUGAUAGUGUCAAAAGAACAAACGAGGUGGACUGCCAUAUUUUUAGUAAAAUUGCACAGCGUAGAGCUGUAAAGAUCAUAGAUAUGCCUACCACAUGAUUGGUGGUAUUAAUAAAUAUGUCUAAAGCAUGGAGGGAUGCAUUUGUCAAAAAUAUCAUAAAAAAAUCAAAAGAAGAAGACAGUUGAGACAAGUUAGGC